GCCUGGGUGGCUCAGUCGGUUGAGCAUCUGACUCUUGAUUUCCGCUCAGGUAAGUGAUCUCAUGGUUUGUGGGUUCAAGCCCUAUGUCGGGCU
rnacentral:tRNA from 1 species